CAGUCGAGGGGCAGCGAGAUCAGUGCUUGCACUGAUUGUCGGCGACCGGCGCACGGGUGCGUAACGCGUAUGCAACCUACCCAUUACAGGGGGAUAACACUGAGAAAUCGGUACUAAUACCCCAUAACAUCCAGGGAGGCAUCUUCUUGGGUUGAAAACUCCGGUGGUAAUGGAUGGGCAUGCGUUGUAUUAGUUAGUUGGUGGGGUAACGGCUCACCAAGACCACGAUACAUAGGGGGACUGAGAGGUUAACCCCCCACAUUGGUACUGAGACACGGACCAAACUCCUACGGGAGGCAGCAGUGAGGAAUAUUGGUCAAUGGACGCAAGUCUGAACCAGCCAUGCCGCGUGCAGGAAGACGGCUCUAUGAGUUGUAAACUGCUUUUGUACGAGGGUAAACGCAGAUACGCGUAUCUGUCUGAAAGUAUCGUACGAAUAAGGAUCGGCUAACUCCGUGCCAGCAGCCGCGGUAAUACGGAGGAUUCAAGCGUUAUCCGGAUUUAUUGGGUUUAAAGGGUGCGUAGGCGGUCGGAUAAGUUAGAGGUGAAAUCCCGAGGCUCAACUUCGGAAUUGCCUCUGAUACUGUUUGGCUAGAGAGUAGUUGCGGUAGGCGGAAUGUAUGGUGUAGCGGUGAAAUGCUUAGAGAUCAUACAGAACACCGAUUGCGAAGGCAGCUUACCAAGCUACUUCUGACGUUGAGGCACGAAAGCGUGGGGAGCAAACAGGAUUAGAUACCCUGGUAGUCCACGCAGUAAACGAUGAAUGCUGGUUGUC
rnacentral:rRNA from 1 species